GAUGAACGCUGGCGGCGUGCCUAAUACAUGCAAGUCGAGCGAACGGACGAGAAGCUUGCUUCUCUGAUGUUAGCGGCGGACGGGUGAGUAACACGUGGAUAACCUACCUAUAAGACUGGGAUAACUUCGGGAAACCGGAGCUAAUACCGGAUAAUAUUUUGAACCGCAUGAUUCAAAAGUGAAAGACGGUCUUGCUGUCACUUAUAGAUGGAUCCGCGCUGCAUUAGCUAGUUGGUAAGUUAACGGCUUACCAAGGCAACGAUGCAUAGCCGACCUGAGAGGGUGAUCGGCCACACUGGAACUGAGACACGGUCCAGACGCCUACGGGAGGCAGCAGUAGGGAAUCUUCCGCAAUGGGCGAAAGCCUGACGGAGCAACGCCGCGUGAGUGAUGAAGGUCUUCGGAUCGUAAAACUCUGUUAUUAGGGAAGAACAUAUGUGUAAGUAACUGUGCACAUCUUGACGGUACCUAAUCAGAAAGCCACGGCUAACUACGUG
rnacentral:rRNA from 1 species